rnacentral:rRNA from 1 species
AUGCCUUUUGGGGUAACUAAUGCCCCUAGUACUUUCAUGAGAUUAACGAACGAAGUUUUACGUGCUUUCAUUGGACGAUUUGUGGUAGUUUACUUUGAUGACAUAUUGAUUUAUAGCAGAUCUUUGGAAGAACAUUUGGAACAUUUACGUGCUAUUUUUAUUGCUCUACGUGCUGCACGUUUGUUUGGUAACCUUGGGAAGUGCACCUUUUGCACCGACCAAGUAUCUUUUCUUGGCUAUGUCGUUACUCCACAGGGAAUUGAAGUUGACAGAGCCAAGAUUGAAGCUAUUGAGAGUUGGCCGCAGCCCAAAACGGUCACACAAGUGAGGAGUUUUCUUGGCCUCGCU